GAUGAACGCUGGCGGCGUGCCUAACACAUGCAAGUCGAACGAGGCAAAUAAGUUGAAGUUUUCGGAUGGAUUCUUAUUUACCGAGUGGCGGACGGGUGAGUAACGCGUGGGUAACCUGCCUCAUACAGGGGGAUAACGGUUAGAAAUGACUGCUAAUACCGCAUAAGCGCACAGUACCGCAUGGUACGGUGUGAAAAACUCCGGUGGUAUGAGAUGGACCCGCGUCUGAUUAGCUAGUUGGUGAGGUAACGGCCCACCAAGGCGACGAUCAGUAGCCGACCUGAGAGGGUGACCGGCCACAUUGGGACUGAGACACGGCCCAGACUCCUACGGGAGGCAGCAGUGGGGGAUAUUGCACAAUGGAGGAAACUCUGAUGCAGCGACGCCGCGUGAGUGAAGAAGUAUUUCGGUAUGUAAAGCUCUAUCAGCAGGGAAGAAAAUGACGGUACCUGACUAAGAAGCCCCGGCUAACUACGUGCCAGCAGCCGCGGUAAUACGUAGGGGGCAAGCGUUAUCCGGAUUUACUGGGUGUAAAGGGAGCGUAGACGGCGACGCAAGUCUGAAGUGAAAUACCCGGGCUCAACCUGGGAACUGCUUUGGAAACUGUGUUGCUAGAGUGCUGGAGAGGUAAGCGGAAUUCCUAGUGUAGCGGUGAAAUGCGUAGAUAUUAGGAAGAACACCAGUGGCGAAGGCGGCUUACUGGACAGUAACUGACGUUGAGGCUCGAAAGCGUGNGGAGCANACAGG
rnacentral:rRNA from 1 species